rnacentral:rRNA from 1 species
GACGAAGGGGUCUAGCGUUGUUCGGAAUUACUGGGCGUAAAGCGAGUGUAGGUGGUUGUCCAAGUUGGAUGUGAAAGCCUUGAGCUCAACUCAAGAAAUGCAUUCAGGACUGGGUGACUAGAGGACCGGAGAGGAUAGUGGAAUUCCCAGUGUAGUGGUGAAAUACGUAGAGAUUGGGAAGAACACCAGUGGCGAAGGCGGCUAUCUGGACGGUUUCUGACACUAAGACUCGAAAGCGUGGGGAGCAAACAGG